UACGUAGGGUGCGAGCGUUAAUCGGAAUUACUGGGCGUAAAGCGUGCGCAGGCGGCGCGUUAAGACAGGUGUGAAAGCCCCGAGCUUAACUUGGGAAUUGCGCUUGUGACUGGCGUGCUGGAGUGUGACAGAGGGAGGUGGAAUUCCACGUGUAGCAGUGAAAUGCGUAGAUAUGCGGAGGAACACCGAUGGCGAAGGCAAUCCCCUGGGCCUGCACUGACGCUCAUGCACGAAAGCGUGGGGAGCAAACAGG
rnacentral:rRNA from 1 species